rnacentral:ncRNA from 1 species
CCUGGCAACCGUGGAAACAUGAGAAGCUGGGUUAUACGCUCUUUUACGAGGGCAACAAUGUUGUCAUAAAAUACAACCAAGACACCUAAUGUGUGAAUUGGUGGUGCACAUAAUAAGUGAAAGAGCUAUGCUCU